rnacentral:misc_RNA from 1 species
GAAAUGCGAUAAGUAAUGUGAAUUGCAGAAUUCAGUGAAUCAUCGAAUCUUUGAACGCACCUUGCGCUCCUUGGUAUUCCUUGGAGCAUGCCUGUUUGAGUAUCAUGAAAUCUUCAAAGUAAAUCUUUUGUUAACUCAAUUGGUUUCUACUUUGGUUUUGGAGGUCUUUGCAGCUUCACACCUGCUCCUCUUUGUUCAUUAGCUGGAUCUCAGUGUUAUGCUUGGUUCCACUCGGCGUGAUAAGUUAUCUAUCGCUGAGGACACUGUAAAAGGUGGCCAAGGUAAAUGCAGAUGAACCGCUUCUAAUAGUCCAUUGACUUGGACAAUACUUUUAUGAUCUGAUCUCAAAUCAGGUAGGACUACCCACUGAACUUAAGC